UUUUAAAAUUCUUUAAUUUUGUUAAAUCAUAUCUUCACUGAUGAUCACCUAGACAAUCAGAAGAAAGAAAUAUAUGGUUAAAACAUUACUUUGACUUAUAGUAUUUUAAAUAAGUUUAUUAAAUUUUACCAAUUUCCAAAUUAUAUUAUAUAAAAAUAAGAAAAUCUUUUUUUUGUUCAGUAAAAAAUAAAAAAAAAAGUAAACCAAAUAUGAGAAAUUUGCCAAAAAAAAGCUCAAAACUUGAUUUUAAAUGCAAAAGUAUAUCCAAAUUUUAAUCAAAUGCAAAGGUAACAUAAAAACCGUGUGAAAUUACAACCAAUUCUUU
rnacentral:lncRNA from 1 species